ensembl:snRNA U6 U6 spliceosomal RNA
GUGCUCACUUCAGCAGCACAUAUACUAAAAUUAGAACGAUAGGAGAUUAGCAUGGUCCCUGCGCAAGAAUGACACGCAAAUUCGUGAAGCGUUCCAUAUUUUG